rnacentral:rRNA from 1 species
UACAGAGGUCCCAAGCGUUGUUCGGAUUCAUUGGGCGUAAAGGGUGUGUAGGUGGCGCCGUAAGUCGGGUGUGAAAUUUUAGAGCUUAACUCUGAAACUGCAUUCGAUACUGCGGUGCUUGAGGACUGGAGAGGAGACUGGAAUUUACGGUGUAGCAGUGAAAUGCGUAGAUAUCGUAAGGAAGACCAGUGGCGAAGGCGGGUCUCUGGACAGUUCCUGACACUGAGACACGAAGGCCAGGGGAG